AGGUGGGGCUUGCAAAUGACAAUUUGUGAGAUCGGAGGUCGGUGGUCAACAUGUUAUAUCUUGAAUGUCAUAUUCUAAAUUAAAUUGACAUACAAAUACUAUCAAAUCUUGAGUAAUUAUGUGUGGAUGUGAUAUUAUAUAAAUCUAUCCUAUAACUUAAACUUGUUAAGAACCUUACGUAUCUGAGGGAUUGAACUAUAUAAUCUUAAUAUAUAAUUACAAAAGGGGAAAAAUAAAAAUCCUUUGUUUAUAUUCAAUAAUUAAAUAUUUAAAGAAUCCAGCUUUUCUUCAAUUACGAUUAUACAAAAAUAAGCAUACUAAAUUUGAUAUGAGGUAGCCAUUUUCAAUCAGUACAAUCAUUGAUAGCUUCCCUUUUCCUUUCUGGACAUAAAAAGAUACUUAGCAUAACUGAAAAGAAAUUAGAUAAACAAUAUACGUUGGAAUAAACGAUGUUAAAUGUGAUUGAAAAAAGCAGUGUAAAAUGUUUGUUCAGUACUAUGUUCAAUUCUAUCAUGUCCUGAGUAUAAACAUGUCGCUCAAGUGUGACAAGAUUUGUAAGUGUUAUGCUCUAAGUCCAAUUAACCUUGGACAUAAACACUUUUGAUAUAUAAUUAAUGCAAUUUAAUGACAGAUAUAUUAUUUAAUUAAUAGACAAAUUAAAUUAAAUAAUAGAGUCCGUAGAUUCAAAUUUUCGUAAUUUGUUAAUCACAAGGAGUUGUGAUUGUGAGAUACAAAUUACAUAUGAUUGAAUCUUAAAUCGCUUGUGAUUGUAAGUAAUAACAAGAUACGAAUAUCGUUAUUUACGGAUAGACCAUCACGUGUGACAUUUCUUACUUGUGAAGUAACUGAUCUCACAAGCUAAAGUGUAGUGACACUUAAAUGAAUACGUGGAUAUUUUGUUAUAGAACAAAACAUUGGAGACCGCCGAGAGAUUCCACAUGGAUAACUAUCUGAGUGUCAGUGGCUAAUCUCUAACGUUCGGUAGUGGGAUUGAUCCUUUUGACUUGAGGUCGUCAUAGUACCUUAUAUGAGAACAAUCAUUGAUAAAUGUAUUUUAUACACUUAUUCGGGGCUCUAAAAUGGUGGUAUUUGAUAACCUUUUGACAAAAUAUAUCCUAAAUUAUUGUGUUUUACGUUUAAUAGGAGGAUUUCUAUGAAUGAAAAGGAAGUGAAGGAAAGAAGCAAAAACGGGCGAAAAUGGCAAAAUCAAAAAGUAAGUGGAUCAAAUUGGCCAAUGGAUGGAAGUUGGGGAUCAAAUUUCACACUUUGUAAAUUAAAGGAAUUGAAGAUAAAUAAUGCAUUGGAAUUCAAAUUUGGGCUUCAACUCGUUAUUGGACAAAGUUUAGUGGCCUAUGGGAAUUGCAAAGGAAUCUGUCGGAAGUGGAAAUAACACAUUGGACCAAAAUUGGACUUGUUUGGAAUCAAAAUUUAAUCAUGCCUUGGACCCCUAAUUGGGCUACAACAAGGGCUUAAUUGUUGAGGUAUAUAUACAAACACAUGCAGCAAAGAAGAAAGGAGCCAUGGGGGAAAAUUAGAAUCUUUUUUUUUUUUUUUUUGGGGAUUAUUCAAGUCAGCGGCAACAGAUUGAAGCGGCAGGAAAUUGAGUGGCGGAAUUUCAUAAAGUCGGCCAGCUUUGGGAUUAAUAAUUCGGCCAGCUGCUGGUAGAGAAAUUGGUGGGCUGCAAAGUGACUUAUACACAUAUAUACUUUCCACAAAAUGCAACUGCUGGGAAGGAAUUUUAUUUUACACAAACACACCCACAGAUUGAGAAAACGGCUGGGAAUAAAUUACAAACCCACACAGAAAACCAAAGCAGGAGGGAAGAAAAAGAAAUUCACAGCAACAGAAUUUAUAUACUUAGAAAACGCUGCUGUGGAGGAGAGAAUUGUGGGCUAAAUUAUAUAAUAUACAUCUCAAUCCUCACACAAAAGCGAGGAGGCAGAUUGGAGAUUGGCGAUUGUCGGCUACGUUGGGAACAAAACGGGGGAAUUACGGAGACAGAAAUCAAGAGACCCGAAGACGACAAACACAAGGAAGCCACGGACUACUGGAGUAUAAUUGAAAUUAAUUACGAAUCGUCUAUUUCUCGGUGAUGUCGUUCUACUUUUAUGCAUUUAAUUCCAAUAAUAUGCUAGGCUAAUUUCCUUCAUGUAUUGGAUGAGACGAAUCCUAUUGUUUAUUUAUUUCUAGUUCAAGACAAGUAAUUUAGUUUAAUUCUUGUGUUUCUUGAUUAAUUUUGCAUUCCCAUUGCACUAUUGAAUUGUUUAGCCAUCAAUUGAAUAGUUAGUUGCUUGUUGUAGUGUAGGAAUACUCACAACGAGUCUAAAACGCGUCAAAAUUAACAUGUAUAAUUAGGAUUAGGAAUAAUAUCUAUCAUACAUGCAAUCAUAUAGAUAACUUGAACUAAAUGCGUGAUUUUCAUAUGAAUUCGGACUAGGAAUAGGAUCGAG
rnacentral:lncRNA from 1 species